GCCUCUGAGUGGUGGAUCACUCGGCUCGUGUGUCGAUGAAGAACGCAGCUAGCUGCGAGAACAUGUGAAUUGCAGGACACAUUGAUUAUCGACACUUCGAAUGCACUUUGUAGCCCCGGGUUACUCCAAGGUCUAAACCUGUCUGAGGGUCA